AAGGGGAAGGGGACUCCCAUGUAGAACCCCUAUGAGUUACCAAGCUCCUGUUUUCUGGCCGUUGCUUGAAAUUGUUUUUCACCCCCCAAGAGGUACCAAUUGUAAAAAAACACAUUAAUUAACACUUACAUAAUUUUUAAUAGCGAUAAAGACGAUUGCUUCAAACUUUCUACUCAUAAAAUUUAUUGUCAAAUAUCCCCUGUCAUAUUUUUUUUCGGUGCAAUACCCUAGAAGGUACUGCAAAAGCUCCUGCUGUGGGCCUUUGAGGCUAAACACCUUAAGGGGCAUCAAAACCGUUUUUCCCCCUAAAAGGAACAACUAACAUUCCCGUCCUUUUUAUAUAGGAGUUCCCCUGGGAUGUUAGGCUGGAGUGUUUUGAGUUUAUAGAGAAAGUUCUGGCGGUCCAAAGGGCCACCAAGCAGAGUCUCAUACUCAGACCAGAGCAGAGGCCCAGUUUCUUAUGGCUAUCAUGGCUAGCGCUAUUGCUCACGGGCGCAUAUGCACGACAAUGAUGGCGACAGCAACAACGGAGUCUCGCAAAAUGGCUGCCAUACUCCAGCUAAUAGGUUGACAGAGACAUGCAGCUUUGGUUUAAAGCAUCCUUCUUUGAUAUGGGACAUCUAUGUUAUGGUCAAUUGACACCUGCCAAAACAAGGAUAAACAAGAAACACAUAAAGAAGUGAAAUACAUCAGACAUGGCAGGAUUUCUCAGUGACCAGACGAUUGAGGGGAGAUAAAGGCAAAGACAAGAUACUGGAGGCAAUAUUAAGAAGACAGGACACUUAGGACAAGACAUAGUAUGCAAGGGACAAAAGUAGGAGGUGUUAAAUAGGAUAUAUUUUUUUGUGUGGACUAAACGUUAGGAUCGGCGAUGUUCUCCUUGCAAUCAAAUAGGACACAAAGGUUAUCAUUAAAAAAGUGAACUGGCCCAAAAAAAUGAUUUACAGUUAGGUUUUGUAGGAGAUGUGUCAUCAGCUUUGCUUUACAAAUUUUAAUUUUUCUUUUGUUUCUGUUCAUGAUGCGAGAGCUUGGUGGAUUGUGUGACUGACGUACGUGACUCUUGAGCAUCAGCAAUGUGGCGUUACAUUUGCGGCCGUUGAGAAUAUGUUAAUAAACCAUUGUUCGGGAAUUUGAAUACACAGCAUUGCAACAGGAGAUUUAACUGUGAAUUUAGUAAAUAAAGAUUGUGAAGUGCCUUUUGAUAUUCUGUUGGCUUGUUUAGACGAACGGCAAGGCAGCAGGGUAGCAAAAGAAACUUUAUAUUAUUUAUUUUCUGAGUUAGCAGUUAAAAUACGGCAGCAUUUUCUGGCGUUGAAUAAUUCCCGUGAAAAACUUUAUUAACUUAUUCUCAACGGUCGUUAGUGUAACGCAGCACCACUGUUGUUCAAUAGUCACGUACGUUUCUAUCGUAUCUUCACCGAGUUCUCGUUUUGUGAGCUUCGAAAGUCUUUUAUUUUCCUUGAAAAGCAAAUCUUUGUAGUUAACCUUCGUGUUUAGAAUCACAACUUUUCGCUAAUUUUCUCUCAUCGAUCAAUUUCUGAAUGGAUUGCCUUGUUUGUCCAAAAUCUCUCAUUCAACAGCGAUUGUAAAUUGUUUCCUUGAAACCAGAAUUUAUAAAAAAUGUCGCUGCUAUUUCAAGCGUAUUACGUCCAGUUAGUUUUGUACAAAAACAAUUUCUCUUGGUUAUUAAAUGUUUUGCAAAAAUUGUGUUGACUGCCUAAAUUUACUCAUAGGUAACCCUUGUCAACAUUUUUAAUUUUCCCGCCAAAAAACUUAGAAAAAAUACGGGCGCCCAAAAAUACGCAUGCGCCGUUUUUUUUAAAAAUUUUUUUCUUGUGAUAACAUUUUUAAUUACUUUCUGUUGUUCUCAACUGUUAUUCAAUAAAGUAUUAUUUCAUCCACUCAAUAAAAGUAAUAAAGACGACGUUCAAAUUUGUUUUGUUUUCUUUUGUUUCUUUUAUUGACAUCAAAAUAACUUAAAUUAAAUAAUGGCAAAUCAAUAACUCACACGUAUUGUUAAAUGAUUUAAUUGAAAUUC